GAUUUGCCUGUUAUCAUGAUGUCAGCUGAUGAUGGGAAGAAUGUUGUGAUGAAGGGAGUGAUUCAUGGUGCUUGUGAUUACCUGAUCAAACCCGUUCGGAUAGAAGCACUCAGGAACAUAUGGCAACAUGUAGUUCGAAAGAGAAAGACUGAAUGGAAGGAUUUAGAGCAAUCCGGUAGCGUGGACGAUGGAGAUCGAGAGCAAAAUCUGUCUGAAGGUGCAAAUUAUUCGUCUUCGGCAUACGAAGGAAGUUGGAACAGCUCGAAGAGGAGGAGGGAUGCUGAAGAAGAGC
rnacentral:misc_RNA from 1 species